rnacentral:misc_RNA from 1 species
UUUUAUGUCUGAUAUGUGAAAGUCUGAUAUGUGAUAAUCCGUCAGCUAAAUCGUAUGAGUACGAGCUUUGAUAGCAAGAAUUGAAUUAUCAUUUAAAGGGUUCUGCUGUUAUUAGAAUACUUCUCCCAUAAGGUCGACGACCUUUCUGUUACCUUCUUCGGCAAGUGAAACUCCAGUGUUAGUAAACAAGAUAACGCUCCGAAAAGCGCCAUAAGAAAACCACCAUUUGUUGGCUGAAUUCGAACCAAAUUUGUUAAAGAGCACACACAAACACACAAAUGAAAAAGUACCCUCAAGUUUUACCCAUCGAUUCAGAGUAAAAAAAAAAGCUGUAUCCAUAAGCGUGAAUGCCAAUCCGAAACAUUAAGCACAUGGACAUCAAGUCAGGCAUCAUCCAAAUGAACUAAGACAAUAACUAAAUCGACUCCGACGAAAUUCGGCAAUUCUCGGCCAGAGAAAAAUAUGUGCAAUGUCAAAAUUUGUUUUCGAUAGUAUGCUGCCAAAGUACCCACAGUUUCAGCCAUUUAUCAGUUCGCACUUAACCACAACCCCCCCAAAUUCGUCAUCAGCAGCAGUUGCCGCCGCCCUUGCCGCAGCCGCCGCCUCCGCAUCCAGUGUCUCGUCGCCGGGCGUUCAUCCGGGCAGCAGUGCCAGCAACAGCCAUAGCAGCGGCCAUUUGCAAUCGUCCUCGUUGUCACCUAGCUCCAGUGCGUUGCAGCUCGGCAGCCAGCUUAAUCAACAACAUUUGAGCCAGUCGUCUAACUCGCCCGUCUCUUCUUCUUCGCCCUCAUCAACCGCGCAGCAGCAACAGUCGCAGUACUCGUCUCUUUCGGCCGCUCUUCACCUGCAACAGCAGCAGCACAUCAACAAAUUAGCCGCCGCUGCAGCUGCGGUAAGCUCGCAAGGAUCCGUCUCCGGUCUUGGUGGCCAUCAGUCGCUGAGCCACGCCCAUCAGCAGCUGCUGCUGACGCCACCUUCGGCGGGCAACUCACAGACCGGCGACAGCAGCUCUUCGCCCUCUCCUGCGGCCAGCUCUUCGUUUGCCAUACCCACCAGCAAGAUGUACCCUUACGUGUCAAAUCAUCCCACUAGCCAUGGUGGCCUUUCCGGCAUGCCAGGCUUUUCGGGCCUGGAAGACAAAUCCUGCAGCAGGUACACGGACACAGUGAUGAACAGUUACCAGUCGAUGAGCGUACCUGCCUCGGCAUCCGCCAGCUUUGCCCAGUUCUAUCAGCACGCGGCUGCCUCUGCGGUGUCCGCAGCCAGCGCAGGAGCCAUUGGCGUGGACUCGCUGGGCAACGCUUGUACACAGCCCGCAUCCGGCGUGGUACCGGGAGCUGGCGGCGCAGGACAGAGUAUUGCGGAUCUACCCCGCUAUCCGUGGAUGACGCUCACAGAUUGGAUGGGAAGUCCCUUUGAGCGUGUCGUUUGUGGCGAUUUUAAUGGUAACGAACGUUGAAGAAAAUUAGAAAAUGGGCGAAUGUAUUCAAGUUUGAGCUGCAGCGAUGUUUGUGGUCUGCUGUCGUUAUACUACCAAUCCAAUUUACCAGACAUCAAUUUGGGAACCUUUGUGAAGAGUGUAUGUGUGUGUGUGAGUGUUAGUUUUGGUGUGUGGGUGAGUGAGUCCCAGAAGCAGACAGGACCACACCUCAAACCCAAUGCGAGAGAGGGAACCCCCGACAAUAUGAAGUUACGAGCAUUGUGCGCUGCGGGACGGCAGCCAACGCACAUUGAAAUUUCUAUGCGACAGGCCGGAGUCCGGGAAUGGAUCCUGAAAUGGGAGUGGGUAUAAGAAUGGAAGCUAAGCAUGAGUUAUGUACAGCUAGAGGAACGGCUGAUAGAGCAACUGGGGGACGCGUCCCCCCUCUUGGAAUGGUAUUUUAAUACGUCAUCGUUUAAAGUCGAAAUGGCAGAGCCCACGCAACUUAAGUUAUUGUCGACAUCUGCUCAAGUUGCUCGUCGAAAUAGAAAUUCGUAAUUCGUGUUUGUUUUUACCAAAUAGGAACAGCGAUUGCCGUGCGUUGCCUGGGAUGGGGAUUGAAGAGAGUGGACUUUUUACUGCGACAAUGUCGAUAUCGAUGUCAUUGUGUGCGGUGGGCCGUAAACGCAUCGGGAAUACUCGAGACUGCGCACUUUUCUCACUUCAAAUCGGUUGGCGCAAUUUAUAUGUGUUUUCAAUAAAAGUCGAUAUAAUGUUGCCAAGGUUCAUAGAACGCACAAAUGAACCUGGCA